rnacentral:rRNA from 1 species
UACGUAGGUGGCAAGCGUUGUCCGGAGUUACUGGGUGUAAAGGGCGUGUAGGCGGGAAUAUAAGUCAGAUGUGAAAUUCCAUGGCUCAACUGUGGGGCUGCAUCUGAAACUAUAUUUCUUGAGUGCUGGAGAGGAAAGCGGAAUUCCUAGUGUAGCGGUGAAAUGCGUAGAUAUUAGGAGGAACACCAGUGGCGAAGGCGGCUUUCUGGACAGUAACUGACGCUGAGGCGCGAAAGCGUGGGGAGCAAACAGG